GACGAACGCUGGCGGCGUGCUUAACACAUGCAAGUCGAACGGAAAGGCCCUGCUUUUGUGGGGUGCUCGAGUGGCGAACGGGUGAGUAACACGUGAGUAACCUGCCCUCGUCUUUGGGGUAAAUUCAGUAAACUGGGGCUCAUACCGGAUAGGUGCUCCUGCUGCAUGGUGGGGGUUGGAAAGUUUCGGCGGUUGGGGAUGGUCUCGCGGCUUAUCAGCUUGUUGGUGGGGUAGUGGCUUACCAAGUGUUUGACGGGUAGUCGGCCUGCGGGGGUGACCGGCCACAUUGGGACUGAGAUACGGCCCAGACGCCUACGGGAGGCAGCAGUGGGGAAUAUUGCACAAUGGGCGGAAGCCUGAUGCAGCAGCGCCGCGUGCGGGAUGACGGCCUUCGGGUUGUAAACCGCUUUCGCCUGUGACGAAGCGUGAGUGACGGUAAUGGGUAAAGAAGCACCGGCUAACUACGUG
rnacentral:rRNA from 1 species